AGUGAACGCUGGCGGUAGGCCUAACACAUGCAAGUCGAACGGCAGCACAGUAAGAGCUUGCUCUUACGGGUGGCGAGUGGCGGACGGGUGAGGAAUACAUCGGAAUCUACUUUUUCGUGGGGGAUAACGUAGGGAAACGUACGCUAAUACCGCAUACGACCUACGGGUGAAAGCAGGGGAUCUUCGGACCUUGCGCGAUUGAAUGAGCCGAUGUCGGAUUAGCUAGUUGGCGGGGGAAAGGCCCACCAAGGCGACGAUCCGUAGCUGGUCUGAGAGGAUGAUCGGCCCCACUGGAACUGGGACACGGUCCAGACUCCUACGGGAGGCAGCAGUGGGGAAUAUUGGACAAUGGGCGCAAGCCUGAUCCAGCCAUACCGCGUGGGUGAAGAAGGCCUUCGGGUUGUAAAGCCCUUUUGUUGGGAAAGAAAAGCAGCAGGUUAAUACCCCGCUGUUCUGACGGUACCCAAAGAAUAAGCACCGGCUAACUUCGUG
rnacentral:rRNA from 1 species